GGCGGGGCCGGUUUCGGCGGGCGGCGGAGGCGCGGACGGUACAGAGCUGCUGCCAUUUCAAGAUGGCGAAGCGCCCGCGUAGCAGGACCCUGCAUGAACCGGGCCGGGCUCCGGCCACACACAAGAUGGCGGCCGCGGCAGGACUCCGGAAGAGACGUCGCCGCCGCUCCCUGCCGCUGUUCGCGGGGCUCCGGUGCCGCUGACCCCGCCAACCGUUUUUCUCCCGCCGGGAAAAGCAGCAGAAAAUGGCGCUGAGAGCGCGGGAUCGGCGUCGGGACCGGGUUGAGGCAGCCGGCAAGAGAAACGCCUGUCUAGAAAGGAAAACCAAGAUCAGUAAUACACGGAAAGAAAGAAAGAAACGCACUGAGCGGCUCCAAGUUCGGCCGAAGCGAGCCGAGCCGCGCCGAAGAGGCGAAUGCAGCCGACAAAAGCCGAGUUUAGCCGAUAAUAGCCGAAUUUAGCCGAGCAGCUGUGAGCCUUGUGGACAACGCGAAGACUGAAAGUGUAAGAAGAUGUGGAGGGAAACAGAGAAUCUGACACGAGCAUCGAAUGCACGAGUGCACGAAUUUUGCUUUUUGCUUGGAUUUAAACUCAGAAGUUGAAAGGAAUUUGGGAAUGAGAAGGGAUAUUUCAGAAGGAGAAGAAGUUGUUGUAACAGUCCUGGCAAAAUCUUUUGUUCUAGCUAAUAAAAGAAGUUAGUUUAAAUAAAUAAAUAAAAAAGUGUGGUUUUU